rnacentral:lncRNA from 1 species
CGUUGUUAUGAUGAAGUCCUUAGGACUAUUUAGAUUCGAUAAAGAGAGAAUUUAUCGAUUAGUUCUUAAAACUGUUCACGACCAAAUGAUAGGCUGUUAAUAAGGACAACAGCUUCUAUCGAGCAUAGGUCGCUGUAGGACAUAUGGGUUGGUUGUCCUCUUAACCAAGGAGUGUGGAGACACUGGUAUGGCAUACAGGUG